GGGUCAGGUCUCUAGAAUCUCUGACUGAAGAACACCAAUCUGAGCUGGGGGUUCGCACCACAGAGCACGGACAGAAGUCCAGGAGGUAUCGUCCGUUGAGACACAGUUGUCCUCCCAUGACACUCCCCCUGACCAAGUCAGUGUCCACGCUCAGAAUCAACCAGAGAGACAUGGAUAGUACCAGGUCAUUCUCCAGCACUUCUGGCUCUCUGGCUUACAGUAUAUCUGAGGAGGACAUAGCGGGUCCCCUGAGGACGGACUUUGAUGGGAAGAGUGGAACCAAGGUUAGCCGAACCUUCAGCUACCUCAAGAACAAGAUAUACAAGAAGACCAGGG